UGAGGAAUAUUGGUCAAUGGGCGAGAGCCUGAACCAGCCAAAUCGCGUGAAGGAAGACGGUAUUAUGUAUUGUAAACUUCUUUUCUGCAAGAGUAAAAAGUUCCAUGCGUGGGGCGUUGCAAGUAUUGCAGGAAUAAGCAUCGGCUAACUCCGUGCCAGCAGCCGCGGUAAUACGGAGGAUGCGAGCGUUAUCCGGAUUUAUUGGGUUUAAAGGGUGCGUAGGCGGCAUAAUAAGUCAGCGGUGAAAUUUUUCGGCUUAACCGGAAACUUGCCGUUGAAACUGUUAUACUUGAGAUUGGCGGCCGUAGGCGGAAUGUGCGGUGUAGCGGUGAAAUGCAUAGAUAUCGCGCAGAACUCCGAUUGCGAAGGCAGCUUACGACAGCGUAUCUGACGCUGAAGCACGAAAGCGUGGGUAUCAAACAGGAUUAGAUACCCUGGUAGUCCACGCUGUAAACGAUGAUUACUAACUGUUGGCGAUACACAGUCAGUGGUACAGAGAAAUCGUUAAGUAAUCCACCU
rnacentral:rRNA from 1 species